rnacentral:lncRNA from 10 species
AACCCGGGGGACAUCCUACGGAUCCGCACUUCUCUUGUGCUGUACGCGUGUUCCUCCAGGGGUUCCAUUUCGGUAUUUUGACUAUGGACCAUACAAUCAUUCUAUUUUUCACUGUCAGGCUCUUGUAGAAGUCAAAGAAUCGAUGAAGACACAGCCCACUUCUGGUAUGUCAGGAUGAGAUCAGCAGGCAAAGAAGCCAGGGAGUAGGAGAAUCUAUAUGUCAAAAGCUGAUCUUCCAA